rnacentral:tRNA from 1 species
GGACCUGUAGCCCAAUUGGUAGGAGGCAACGGAUUCAAGCUCCGUACAGUGUGCGUUCGAAUCGCACCAGGUCUAC